rnacentral:tRNA from 1 species
GCGAGAGUGGCGGAAUUGGCAGACGCGCUGGACUUAGGAUCCAGUCCCGCGAAAUCGGGAUGGGGGUUCAACUCCCCCCUCUCGCACCA